rnacentral:rRNA from 1 species
ACGCUCGACACCUACGGGGGCAGCAGUGGGGAAUAUUGGGCAAUGGGCGCAAGCCUGACCCAGCAACGCCGCGUGAAGGAAGAAGGCCCUCGGGUUGUAAACUUCUUUUAUCAGGGACGAAGCAAGUGACGGUACCUGAUGAAUAAGCCACGGCUAACUACGUGCCAACAGCCGCGGUAAUCUGAGCGGGCUGGCAAGGC